rnacentral:rRNA from 1 species
UACGGAGGGUGCAAGCGUUAUCCGGAUUUCCUGGGUUUAAAGGGUGCGUAGGCGGCUUCUUAAGUCAGUGGUGAAAUCCUAGUGCUUAACACUAGAACGGCCGCUGAUACUGGGAAGCUUGAGUCAAGGAGAGGUAAGCAGAAUUUAUGGUGUAGCAGUGAAAUGCUUAGAUACCAUAAGGAAUACCAAUAGCGAAGGCAGCUUACUGGCCUUGUACUGACGCUGAGGCACGAAAGCGUGGGGAGCAAACAGG